ACUCCCUCUUCUCUCUUCCAGGGUCACUCUUGACCCCUCUAAGCGGCAGAGCUCUAAUAGGUGCGUCUCUGGCACCCCCACGCCUCCAGGAGCCAAAAUCAGGUCGCAGACGAACCUGAGAGAAUCGGGGGACCUGCGCUCACAAGUUGCCAUCUACCUUGGGAUCAAAAGGAAGCCGAACCCCGGCUGCUCCGAUGCCCCUGGCAUGUGAAGGUGACAAGCACCUGGCCAGCUGAGGCAGUGAUGGCGGCGCUGCCAGGCAUGGGGUGCCACCCUCUUGGCUGGCUGCCGCGCGUGCCAGCCCCAGCCCUUUUUGCUCUCCUGCACCCACGACUGGGGCCCCAGCGAGCACUUCUGCCAUUUUGAGGCCGAGGUUUGCCAGCUCCAGCACCUCGGCCCUCCACGGUGUGCUCUUCGCGUCCGGCCCCCUGGCUGUGCAACUGCUGGCCGCUUUCCCGUGCCAAACUAUGACACGCCUGGGCUUGGUCAAAAAGCUGCCGCUCCUAGUGGACGCCACCAGAGGCCUUGGGACCUCUUCCUUGAGGGCUGCAUUCCUCCUGGGGUAUGCACCGGAUCUGGGCACCCAGGGCUGCACUGGUGUUAGGACCUCCCCAAGGAUGUACUGGAUCCAGCACCCAGGGCUGCAUUGGUGCUGGGAACCCCCCCCCC